rnacentral:rRNA from 1 species
AUUGAACGCUGGCGGCAGGCCUAACACAUGCAAGUCGAACGAGUGGCGGACGGGUGCGUAAUGUCUGGGAAACUGCCCGAUGGGGGGGUAUAACUUCUGGAAACGGUAGCUAAUACCGCAUACCCUCGUCUGUGCCCAUAUGGGAUUAGCUAGUAGGUGGGGUAAAGGCUAACCUAGGCGACGAUCCCUAGCUGGUCUGAGAGGAUGACCAGCAACACUGGAACUGAUACACGGUCCAGACUCCUACGGGAGGCAGCAGUGGGGAAUAUUGCACAAUGGGCGCAAGCCUGAUGCAGCCAUGCCGCGUGUAUGAAGAAGGCCUUCGGGUUGUAAAGUACUUUCAGCGAGGAGGCGUUACUCGCAGAAGAAGAACCGGCUAACUCCGUGCCAGCAGCCGCGGUAAUAC